UGAGAGGGCUAAAAGCAUAAUAGGGCUGCUAACUUUGUUGUAAGUAUAUAAACUACUUUCUCUCAU
rnacentral:tRNA from 1 species